rnacentral:rRNA from 1 species
UACGUAGGGUGCGAGCGUUGUCCGGAAUUAUUGGGCGUAAAGAGCUUGUAGGUGGUUUGUCGCGUCUGCUGUGAAAAUCCGAGGCUCAACCUCGGACUUGCAGUGGGUACGGGCAGACUAGAGUGUGGUAGGGGAGACUGGAAUUCCUGGUGUAGCGGUGGAAUGCGCAGAUAUCAGGAGGAACACCGGUGGCGAAGGCGGCAUCCUGGACCGGCAUUGACGCUGAGGAGCGAAAGCCAGGGGAGCAAACGGG